GCGGGCGUAGCUCAGGGGUAGAGCAACAGCCUUCCAAGCUGAAGACGUGGGUUCGAUUCCCAUCGCCCGCUCCA
rnacentral:tRNA from 1 species